rnacentral:rRNA from 1 species
UACGUUCCCGGGCCUUGUACACACCGCCCGUCAAGCCAUGGAAGCUGGAAGCGCCUGAAGUGCGUAACCGCAAGGAGCGUCCUAGGGUAAAGUCGGUAACUGGGGCU